rnacentral:rRNA from 1 species
AUUUUUAUAAGUAAAAUCUGCUCCAUGAAUUUAAAUAGCCGCAGAAUAACUGUGCUAAGGUAGCAUAAUCAUUAGUCUUUUAAUUUAAGACCAGAAUGAAUGAUUUAACAUUUUAAUUAAUUUUUUAAAUUAAUCAUUUUUAAUUUUAACUAAAAAUUAAAAUGUUUUUAUAAAUAAAAAAGACGAUAAGACCCUAUUGAACUUUACUUUAGUUAAGCUGGGGAAGCUAAUUAAAAAUAAUUUUAAUUAUUUUAAAAAAAUAAAAUUCCAAUAAAAUUGAAUUUAUCAAGUUACCAUAGGGAUAACAGCGUAAUAAUUUUUAAAAGUUCUUAUUAAAAAAAAAGAUUACGACCUCGAUGUUGAAUUAAUUUUCCUAAAAAACGCAACCGUUUUAAAGGAGGUCUGU